ACGGUGCUCUUUAUGCCCAAUAUCUCAUUUAAUCCUAACCACAAUUCUAUGAAGCAUAUGUCUCCGUUUUUACAGUUGAUAGUACCGGGGUUGCAGGGCACAGAUGCCUUCCUCAAGGACACAGGCCUGUACAUGAUAGAAUUAUAAUUUGAAACCCUUUUUUCCUAAGGUUAAAUCCCUUAAGACUUUGAGUCUACUACUUUGGAAAUAUUCACAACAGACCUAAUAUUGAUAGGAACAGCAGUAAAAUGAGAGGUCCUGGGUUAAUGUUUCAAGAAUAUUGAAUGUUCUUCCAGGCACGAAUUGAGCAGCAAUUGAUGCCGAAAUGGCACCAAAUUAUUUUGCUAUCAAUUGCUAAAGCCUGGUGUUUUCAUAUCGUGUGCGGAUCUAUUCCAGGGCCAUCUCUAGCUGAUAGCAUCAGAUCUUCCACCCUGAAGAGAUUACAGCUGGCUGACAUCCCAACAAACAGACCUGAAAAGUUUGUCUACAACCACUGAUAGGAGCUCAGCGAGGAGGACUUUGGGAGAGGGUUAGCUCGAGGAUGUCUUGAUUUCUUUUCUGCUUCUGUGGCUUUGCUAUAGAGUCUCAGACAAAUACUCCCAUUGUUUUUAUGCUGUUUGUUAUAGUCUACUUGCUACUGUGAGGUGUUGUGAGGAAGAAAUAAAUUUAAGUCAAGAAUGCAACUAUAUAAGCAUGGUACAAAUUCAGUAAAUAUUGCUUGAAUGAUUUUAUCUGAGAGGAGUGAGUAUUUAGCACUACAUUUUUAUAUAAUGCUUCUUAACUCUUCCUUAAAGCACAUAAUGAUCAAUGCUAUUUUUUAUCUGUUUAUUUUAAUUGCAUUGU